rnacentral:rRNA from 1 species
UACAGAGGUCUCAAGCGUUGUUCGGAUUCAUUGGGCGUAAAGGGUGCGUAGGCGGCGCGGUAAGUCGGGUGUGAAAUCUCGGAGCUUAACUCCGAAACUGCAUUCGAUACUGCCGUGCUUGAGGACUGGAGAGGAGACUGGAAUUUCCGGUGUAGCGGUGAAAUGCGUAGAUAUCGGAAGGAACACCAGUGGCGAAAGCGGCUUCCUGGUCCAGCACCGACGUUCAGGCACGAAAGCGUGGGGAGCAAACAGG